rnacentral:tRNA from 1 species
GUAGGUAUAGCUCAAGUGGUAGAGCACCAGACUUAAAUGAAAAAACUAAGCAAGAAUGUGAGGCCUUGAGUUUAAACCCCAGUACCUACA